rnacentral:rRNA from 1 species
CCUACGGGUGGCAGCAGUGAGGAAUAUUGGUCAAUGGACGGAAGUCUGAACCAGCGAUGCCGCGUGCAGGAAGACGGCUCUAUGAGUUGUAAACUGCGUUUGUACAAGGGUACACCUGAAUUCGUGUAUUCAGCUGAAAUUACUGUACGAAUAAGGAUCGGCUAACUCCGUGCCAGCCGCCGCGCCAAUACGGAGGGUCCAAGCGUUAUCCGGAUUGAUUGGGUUUAAAGGGUGCGUAGGCGGAUUGAUAAGUUAGAGGUGAAAUGUCCGAGCUUAACUCGGGAACUGCCUCUAAUACUGUUGAUCUAGAGAGUAGAUGCGGUAGGUGGAAUGUAAGGUGUAGGAGUGAAAUCCUUAGAGAUCAUACAGAACAUCAAUUGCGAAGGCGGCUUACCAAUAUAUAUCUGACGUUGAGGAACGAAAGCGUGGGGAGCAAACAGGAUUAGAUACCCCUGUAGUC